ACACAUAUAUAUAUAUAUAAUUGAUUUCUUCCCACUAAGAACAGGCAAGCAUUAUCCAUAGCCAGGCUCUGGCAGUUAUGCUGUCAUUUGGUAUGACAAAUGACAUUUAUGAUAAUGUAGUAAAUUUGUAUUUUUAAUUCUCAUGUCUUGAGAUUUUGACUUACCUUGAUGUAUAAACUGCUUUAUUUGUGUGUGUGUACGAGAUGACUUGCAUAGUACUUCAUCAUUUCCUAAGAUUUUAUAUUUGUGGUGGUAGUACAAAAGAUGGCUCCCCUCCCUUUUUUUUUUUCUCCAUAUCUUUUGUGGAGGUCUGAGGGUUUUAACUCACAUUUUUAAUGAAUUCCUGUUUCAAAGAACAAAGCCAGUUUCAGAAGAAAUAUUGUCAGUAUAAUACAGAUGGGUGUAUGUAUGAGUAUCGAUGAGGAUGGUUGGAAUGGCCAGCUAAUACUAAAAAAAGAAAAACAACAAAUCUCUUGUCGUAGAAGAGGCAGAUGCAAAUGGCGCAAUCCCUGCUGUAAUUGAGCAAAGUAAGUCCUGGCCAGGUGUUGCUCUGGUUUCUGGAACAUUCCUUCUAUUUCCUCUUCUAUUCUCCACUACUUUCUGAUGAACUUGGUACCUUCUGCAAACAUACAUGCAGAUGUUCUGACAUGAAUAUACAUUUGUAGCCUUUUUGUACACGCAUCUUUGUAUAUUCCUACAAACAUGCAUAUAUACAUACUUAUAUUAUCUGUAAAACUCUAUACACACACACACUUUUUUUUUUUUACUAUAGUCCAGCAAAAAUACACAAAUUCAUGUUUUGGGGAUUUUUUUAUAAAGAAAGUUUCUCAAUUUUCAUCUUUUUAUUCAUUGUCAAUAGGUUUUUUUGGGGUUUUUUUUUUACUUAUUGGUACUGUUGCUGCUCACUUUUUCCAUAGAGCUUAGCCAAAGGUUUAAGCACUACCAACCUUUGUAUAUUACAAAUAAUUAUAUUUUAGAAAAAUUCCAAUGAAGAUCUCCAGAGAAAAGAAAGGAAAGAAAAAAAUAUGGAAAGUUGAAAACUCUUUAUAUUUUAUAAUUUUACUUUAGAGUUUAUUUUUUCUUCAUAUUUGAUAUUGUUGAGAGUUCAUCCAGUUUUUUUUUUGGUAGUUUGUUCUUCCAUAAAUUUGUUUUGAGUGUUAUUUUAGUUUCUAGUUUUUUUUGUUCAUGUUUAUAUUACAUUUCCUAAUAGAUAGUUAAGUAGCUGAUUGAUGAAGGAAGUAAUUAAAGUUUGAUGGUGUGACCUAAGGAGUCAGGGAGACAUGACCACUGCUUCUUCCACAUCCUGCUUCUGUAUUGGACAUCUCAGGAAAGUUAGCUUGGCAAUACUUAACAUUCCAGUUUAUGCUUGCAACAGGAUUUGAGCUUGGCACUGAAACUAACAAAAUGCUUGCCUGAUAGACAAGACCAUCUCAGCUCUUCCAUACUUAUUGUGGUGGACUCUGUCUAGCUACAACACCUACAUCUAGACAGUUAGUUUGGGGCAUUGAAAAGUUUUUUUCUGAUCUAGAAACACAUUACAGCACUUGUGACAGCAUACAAAUGUUUGAUUUCCUGCUUGGUAGCUCAGUACCCUAUCAACUUCUAGAACAAAUGCUAAGUGGAUAUGGUACUGGGCUGUUACCUUCUACGUUUUUAUCUUUGAAAUUUCUUAAAGGUAGUUCUUUAUAUAUUUAGGUAAUACACUUUCGGUUUCAGUUGACCUUGCUCUAUUGAGUAUACACACACACACACACACACACACACACUAUAUAUAUAUAAGGAAAGAGAGAUAUCAAGCCAUUUCGAAAAGUCACUUGUGAUAGACUGGCGUCCUAUCCAAAGAAAGAUUUGUCUUUCAGAUGCUGACUGACCUUUGAAGUUCUUCAUAGCUCAGAAGCUAUUACAUCUUGCAUGUGUGUUUUAUUUCAUCAUUUCAAUUUAUUCAAUUAUGACCCCAAAUAAGGCACUAACAAACUAUUUAGUAGUUUACAUCUAGUCAAAAGUUGAAUUUUCAAAUUUUGAAAGGUCAUCGUUUUGACAUACUUCAAUUCUUCUUCACCUUUGGUACUAUUUCUAGUUAAAGAGCAGCAUAGCAUGGUAUAUAGUUUACUUGUUUCCAUUCCAAAGAUUAACAAUACCAAAUGACUAUUAAUACCAAAUGAUUUGUUUUACUCACUUUUAAACUCUAUACACCAUGCCAUCUGCUGCAGUUGCACAUGUUUGUACAACAGGUGUUUCCUUGGCUUCUUUCUGUCUCUGUAGGUAUCUGGUGUUUGUUGGGUUUUUUUUUUUUUUCUUAAAUCAAGGUCCUUCAGUAAGGGUUAUAUUUCAUAUGAGUGCAAGGACAAUAAAUUAAUGCACAGUUCCAUAAAAGAAUGACUGAAACACUACAUAAAGUAACAAUGCAUUUUUAUAGGAACAUGUUGAAUGUGAACGCAAUCUCAUACAUACUCUAGUUAUCCAAAAGCAGUUUCUCUUUCACUCAUUCCAGCUAGUUGAUAGUGGCCCCUGUUAGCAAAAAGAAAUAUGUAUCUCCUUUCAGCUUGUCUGGGGGGUUUUAUUCUAAAUUUGCUGUUCUGAUAUUAUAGAGAUGAAAUGGCCAAACAGAUACAAUGUGUUACCAAUUCUAGAAUUGGUUUCAAUCUGCCAUGGCAGGUGUUCACUUUCCAGAAGUCUCUUUUCAUUGCUUCAGUCUCCUCCUCAUUUAAAUUACUACCAUGGAGUUGUAGGCACUGUAAAAUAUUUCACAUCUCAAUCACAACCUUGGAGCUUAGGGCACCAUAAAUUAUUUAACAUCUUGAUUACUACCAUGGAACUGAGGGUACUGUAAGCCAUUUCACAUCUUAGUAAUAAGAUCUGCUUCCUUUACAUCAAAAGUUUUGUGACUCUUUUCUAUAAGAGCAAAAUUUUAAAUUCUAGUCUGCAAAUUCAUUCAUCUUCAUGUCUAAUAAAUACAGUUGGGAUAAUCCUGAAUGCCCUAACUUUUCAUCUCCUUUCCUGUUAUAUACUUGAAGCUUUUUGCGUAAGAGACCAGUACUUUUUCUUUUCAUUUUUCCAGAGAGCACAAUUAGAAAUUAUUCUGCUGAUAUUCGUUAUAUAAAUGUUAAGUUGUUCUCGUUUAGUCACUUCUCAGUCAUUAUCUAGCAUACUUAUUAUCUAAAUUAGAAAAUUUUUUUCUACAAGUUUUGAGUAACUUAAUUAUAAUUUGCAUUACUGUCCAUUAUUUUAGGGGUGGAUGAUGCAGUUUAUAAUUGGGAAGAUAUGAUACAUACUCGCUGUUACUACGAGCAGAAAUAUGGCAUUAAAAUAUUUUCAUUAUUGCUUUUACAGCAAAAUCAAGAGAACAUCAAAUUACCUUGCAGUGUUUUGUUACUUGCACUUUUGUUCAAAUCUCAAGGUCAACUUUGUUUUUCAUCUUUGUGAUGGGUGGGUGAUAAAUAAGCCAAGUUGGAUGGGAGAAAUCUAUUUGACUGUUCCCUCUCUAAGCAUUUGUAAGCCUUGUGCUGAUGUUUGAAAUCAUUAUUAUUAUGGCAGGUGUAUUAUAUUGGGUUAAAGGACUGCUAGUAAUUAGUUCUCGCUCUCUGCAAACCAUGUUCAAUUCCCAAUAGGAUUCUCUUUGUUUCCAUCUCUGCAGAGUUUAAAAACUGAGUACCAGUCAUGUACUGAGGUUGGUUAAAUUUACUACACCAGCUCCCUAAAUUGGUGACCACCUGCCAAACUUAGAAACAAAUGUUAUUACUAUUAGGGUGAAGGUGUGAAGCUGAUAGAAUGAUUUUAGCAACAGAAAUGCUUUAUGGCAUUUCUUCUGUCUCAAUACAUUCUAAGUUCAAAUACUGCCAAGGUCAACUUUGCCUUCCAUCAGUCCAGGGUUGAUAAAAUAAAGUUCUAGUCAAGAACUGGGAUUAAUGGUAUCAAGUAACAAAAUUUUUGGCCUUGUGCCAAAAUUUAAAACCAUUGAUACUAUUAGUGUGGUCAAAUUGCAUGACUACUGAUCACAGUCAAUACCUACCAAUAUUUAGCUAUGCCUGUAUGUUCUAAGAUCAAAUAUUAAUUAGUACAAUGUAAGUAAGUAUCAAUCUGUACCAUACUGACUAUACUCCCUGCAUAUGUUCUGAAUUCAAACCCCACCAAGGUCAGCUCUGCCUUUCAUUCCUCCAGGGUUGAUAAAGUACCAACCAAUUACUGAAGUUUAACUAGCCCCUCCACCUACUAAAAACUGCAGGCCUUGUGCCUAAAUUAGAAUUAUUAUUAAAGGGCAGUGGGCUGACAGAAUCAUUAGGUUGUGGGACAAAAAUGCUGGUUCUCUGUUAUGCAUUCAAACUCCACUACGGUUAACUUUGCCUUUCAUCCCUUUAGGGCUCAAUAAAAUAAAGUACUGGUUUAAGUACUGGGGUCUCUGUAGUCAACUAGCACCCCAGAAUAUUGCUGGCCUUGUGUCUAAAUUAGAAAAUUAUCAUUGAGAGUGAUUGAUGGCAGAAUCGGUACUGCAAAGGAUUAAAUUCCUUGUGUUUAAAAUCAUGUCUUUUUGCAUUUUGAGGUCAACAUUAAUUUCUGUUCUUUCAGUAUCAGUGAAAUAAAAUACUUAUCAAGUGCUGAAGUAAUUAAUUGCCUGUACUCUUCCUUCAGAAUUGUGGCUUUGUGCCUAUAUAAAAAGUAUUAUAUAGAGAGGGGACAAGAAAUAGAGAGAGCAAAACUGGUAGGGCAAUGGAAUACAGGAUGCUGCAAAAAAAAAAAAAAGAAAAAUAAAGCUUCCAAAUUCACCGUUCUUGAUAAAUGUUUCAGCAGCAAACACAUGAUGUGCAUCAGCCCAAAUCAUGAUGGUAACUGAAAAAAAAAUGGUUAAGCAUUAGCUACAUGAAGACACCAUUACCACCUGCCUGACUUCACAAGCACCACACCAUUGACUAUGUGAAAUUUGGGAGGUUUUUCUGUCUUGCCCUAUACUUUGGUAUAUUCAGCAUAUAAUUGUAUUGUGGUCCUGAGUUUGAAUCCUGCCAAAGAUGACAUCUUUUUCAUCUUUUCCCCAGGUUGAUAAAAUAUUUACCAAUCAAGUAGCAAGAUUUGACAUGUAGUUAAUUGUGCCAUUAUCAAGGAUUUUAUUUAUCUGAAGUAAAACUAUUAAAACUUCUCUACAAAUAAGCCUUUUUUAUGCCCCUUAAAAAGUGAAAAUAGUUUGAAAUCCAUUUGUGCGUUGUAUGUCUGUGUAAGCAAAGGAAUGAUUCAUUUGCAAAUGUGACCUACAUCAGUUUGACAAGAUAUUCUUCAAAUUCGUUUGUAACAUUUUUUUCCUAUUCUUUGCUAUUCACACUUAUUAGAUUUAAUAAAAUUCCAAGUGAUAUUUAACAAUAAUAAUAGUAAUAAUGAUAAUAAUAAUAUCAUAAUGCCUGCUCUAUUUGUUACCUACUCUCUUAAAAGUGCUUUUAAUAUCUUAAACACAUGUAUGUCUGCGUAUGUGCAUGUAUAGGUGUAUGUGAAGUAUAUGUGCGCGUGUUUGUGCAUUGAUAAUUAUCAGUCUGCUCAAUAAAAAUUUUCUCUUUGCAAUUAAGUUUUUCCAUAUCUUAACAUAUACAAGUUUCUGCUGAUAUUUCUUAUUGUGCCUGUGUGUGUGUGUGUGUGUGUGUGUGUGUGUAUUACAUAUAUUUUACACAUAUGUUGCUUUGUUUUGUUUUUGUUUCUUGUGUUUGUUUUUUUUAUUAUCAGAAGAGACUUUAAGGGAAAGGAAAGGCUUUUCUCUCUCUCUCUCUCUCUCUCUCUCUAUUUGAUGAUUGCUUUAAAUGUCAGGGCUGAUAACUUAAGAAUAAAAAAAUCAAAAUGAAAAAAAUAAAUCAAAUAAAAAGUCCUAAUUCUGUGUUUUAUGAAAUAAAACUGUAUAUCCAA